rnacentral:rRNA from 1 species
CUACGGGCGGCAGCAGUGAGGAAUAUUGCACAAUGGGGGGAACCCUGAUGCAGCAACGCCGCGUGGAGGAUGACGCAUUUCGGUGUGUAAACUCCUUUUAUAUGUCAAGAAAAUGACGGUAGCAUAUGAAUAAGCACCGGCUAACUCCGUGCCAGCAGCCGCGGUAAUACGGAGGGUGCAAGCGUUACUCGGAAUCACUGGGCGGAAAGGACGCGUAGGCGGGUUGGAAAGUCAGGUGUGAAAUCCUACAGCUUAACUGUAGAACUGCACUUGAAACUUCUAACCUAGAGUAUGGGAGGGGGAGAUGGAAUUAGUGGUGUAGGGGUAAAAUCCGUAGAUAUCACUAGGAAUACCUAAAGCGAAGGCGAUCUCCUGGAACAUUACUGACGCUAAGGCGUGAAAGCGUGGGGAGCAAACAGGAUUAGAUACCCCGGUAGUC